AGGGCUAUAGCUCAGUGGUAGAGCAUCUGCUUUACAUGCAUAAGACCCGAGGUUCAAUCCCCGUUAGCUCCA